rnacentral:rRNA from 1 species
GAUGAACGCUAGCGGCAGGCCUAAUACAUGCAAGACGAACGGUAAGUUGAGUAGCAAUACUUAGCCAAGAGUGUCGUACGGGUGCGUAACACGUAUGCAACCUACCCUAUACAGGAGGAUAGCCUAGGGAAACCUGGAUUAACCCUUCAUAGUAUUGUUGGAUGGCAUCAUUUGAUAAUUAAAACUGAGGUGGUAUAGGAUGGGCAUGCGUCUGAUUAGUUAGUUGGCGGGGUAAUGGCCCACCAAGACGAUGAUCAUAGGGGGUUCUGAGAGGAAGACUCCCCCACACUGGCACUGAGAUACGGGCCAGACUCCGUACGGGAGGCAGCAGUAGGAAUAUUGGUCAAUGGAUGCAAGUCUGAACCAGCCAUGCCGCGUGCAGGAA